rnacentral:piRNA from 1 species
UAGCCUAGAUUCUUGUUUUGAACUUGAGAAA